rnacentral:tRNA from 1 species
GCCUUCGUGGUGUAGUGGUCAGCAUGCUCGACGCGAAACCGAGAGGUCCGUGGUUCGAUUCCCGGCGAAGGCU